rnacentral:rRNA from 1 species
GAUGAACGCUGGCGGCGUGCUUAACACAUGCAAGUCGAACGGUGAACACGGAGCUUGCUCUGUGGGAUCAGUGGCGAACGGGUGAGUAACACGUGAGCAACCUGCCCCUGACUCUGGGAUAAGCGCUGGAAACGGCGUCUAAUACUGGAUAUGUGACGUGACUGCAUGGUCUGCGUUUGGAAAGAUUUUUCGGUUGGGGAUGGGCUCGCGGCCUAUCAGCUUGUUGGUGAGGUAAUGGCUCACCAAGGCGUCGACGGGUAGCCGGCCUGAGAGGGUGACCGGCCACACUGGGAUUGAGACACGGCCCAGACUCCUACGGGAGGCAGCAGUGGGGAAUAUUGCACAAUGGGCGAAAGCCUGAUGCAGCAACGCCGCGUGAGGGAUGACGGCCUUCGGGUUGUAAACCUUUUUUAGCAGGGAAGAAGCGAAAGUGACGGUACCUGCAGAAAAAGCGCCGGCUAACUACGUG